rnacentral:lncRNA from 1 species
UUUUGAGGAUUAUGAGGAUGAAUUUAGAAUCUCCUUUUUUAUACUUCAAUGAUUUAAAUUAGGCCAGAAGAAUAUGGUGACAUCAUCUUAAUAUCUUCAUCAGAAAGAAAUAAAAUUUUUCCUUUUCUUUUUUUGUUUUGCUCAGUGGAAUUACAGUUUGUUUUGUCAUGAGAUCUACUGAGUCAGUUGAGUCAAAUAUAAAUACUUCAUAAUCAAACUUCAUUUUGAAACCUCAUUUUUUGCAAUGGAUUAGUAACCAAAAAGGAAUGGCAUUCUUACCUCCAAAAAAGUACUUCUCGCCAGUUUUAACUUGAAGGGGACUAUUAGUUCGAACUGCUGAUGCUUCAUCUCCAUCGAUGGUGAGAAUAGCAAAAUUUUCCUUGGCUAGGAAGCGAACCUCGUGCCACUGUCCAUCAUUCAACCCAGAACCUGUGAAAGUAACCUGACAACGCCAUUCAAAUAAUAUUUGUGUUAAAAGGUCACUUCUCUGACCUACAGAUCAAAAACUUGCAAUAGCACCCUGCCUUGACAAGAGCCAGGACUUCACACAAGGGCUUCACCUUCUCGGGUCCUAGGGAGGGCUGGUGGCUUGAGCUGAGAGAACCCAUGCUAAGCUUGGGCACCUGAGACAGCAGAAGCAUGGACCUGAUAUUCCUUGCAAUGGGACGGCACUCUCAGCUGCAGCCCAGCAUCACUGCUGCAUAUCAAGGAACAUGACAUUGACAGGAAUUGCCAUGACUGGA